rnacentral:rRNA from 1 species
CUCCUUAGUACGAGAGGACCGGGAGGAACGCACCGCUGGUGUACCAGUUAUCGUGCCAACGGUAAACGCUGGGUAGCCAAGUGCGGAGCGGAUAACCGCUGAAAGCAUCUAAGUGGGAAGCCCACCUCAAGAUGAGUGCUCUCACCACGUAAGUGGGUAAGGUCACGGGAAGAACACCCGUUCUUAGGCGGUAGGUGGAAGUGCAGUAAUGUAUGUAGCCGAGCCGUGCUAACAGACCGAGGGCUUGACCUCACA